rnacentral:rRNA from 1 species
CCUAAUGCCUCCCUGAACAAGCCCGAUUCCGUCUGAUCUCAGAAGCUAAGCAGGGUCGGGCCUGGUUAGUACUUGGAUGGGAGACCACCUAAGAAGACCAGGUGCUGUAGGU